rnacentral:rRNA from 1 species
CCUACGGGUGGCAGCAGUGGGGAAUAUUGGGCAAUGGAGGAAACUCUGACCCAGCAACGCCGCGUGAAUGAUGAAGGUCUUCGGAUUGUAAAGUUCUUUUCUAAGGGAAGAAGAAAGUGACGGUACCUUAGGAAUAAGCCUCGGCUAACUACGUGCCAGCAGCCGCGGUAAUACGUAGGAGGCGAGCGUUAUCCGGAAUGACUGGGCGUAAAGGGUGCGUAGGUGGUUUGGCAAGUUAGUAGCGUAACUCCAAGGCUCAACCUUGGAACUACUACUAAAACUGUUGGACUAGAGUAAUGGAGGGGGAACCGGAAUUCUCGGUGUAGCAGUGAAAUGCGUAGAUAUCGAGAGGAACACUCGUGGCGAAGGCGGGUUCCUGGACAUUAACUGACGCUGAGGCACGAAGGCCAGGGGAGCGAAAGGGAUUAGAUACCCGGGUAGUC